rnacentral:rRNA from 1 species
AGCGAACGCUGGCGGCAGGCCUAACACAUGCAAGUCGAACGAACCUUUCGGGGUUAGCGGCGGACGGGUGAGUAACACGUGGGAACGUGCCUUUAGGUUCGGAAUAACUCAGGGAAACUUGUGCUAAUACCGAAUGUGCCCUUCGGGGGAAAGAUUUAUCGCCUUUAGAGCGGCCCGCGUCUGAUUAGCUAGUUGGUUGAGGUAAUGGCUCACCAAGGCGACGAUCAGUAGCUGGUCUGAGAGGAUGAUCAGCCACAUUGGGACUGAGACACGGCCCAAACUCCUACGGGAGGCAGCAGUGGGGAAUCUUGCGCAAUGGGCGAAAGCCUGACGCAGCCAUGCCGCGUGAAUGAUGAAGGUCUUAGGAUUGUAAAAUUCUUUCACCGGGGACGAUAAUGACGGUACCCGGAGAAGAAGCCCCGGCUAACUUCGUG